GAAUAUUGGACAAUGGGCGAAAGCCUGAUCCAGCCAUGCCGCGUGAGUGAAGAAGGCCUUAGGGUUGUAAAGCUCUUUUGCCCGGGAAGAUAAUGACGGUACCGGGAGAAUAAGCCCCGGCAAACUUCGUGCCAGCAGCCGCGGUAAUACGAAGGGGGCUAGCGUUGUUCGGAUUUACUGGGCGUAAAGCGCACGUAGGCGGAUUGUUAAGUCGGGGGUGAAAUCCUGGAGCUCAACUCCAGAAUUGCCUUCGAUACUGGCUUUCUAGAGGCUGGAAGAGGUUAGUGGAAUUCCCAGUGUAGAGGUGAAAUUCGUAGAUAUUGGGAAGAACACCAGUGGCGAAGGCGGCUAACUGGUCCAGAUCUGACGCUGAGGUGCGAAAGCGUGGGGAGCAAACAGG
rnacentral:rRNA from 1 species